UCGUAACAAGGUUUCCGUAGGUGAACCUGCGGAAGGAUCAUUACCGAGUGAGGGCCCUCUGGGUCCAACCUCCCACCCGUGUUUAUUUUACCUUGUUGCUUCGGCGGGCCCGCCUUAACUGGCCGCCGGGGGGCUCACGCCCCCGGGCCCGCGCCCGCCGAAGACACCCUCGAACUCUGUCUGAAGAUUGUAGUCUGAGUGAAAAUAUAAAUUAUUUAAAACUUUCAACAACGGAUCUCUUGGUUCCGGCAUCGAUGAAGAACGCAGCGAAAUGCGAUACGUAAUGUGAAUUGCAAAUUCAGUGAAUCAUCGAGUCUUUGAACGCACAUUGCGCCCCCUGGUAUUCCGGGGGGCAUGCCUGUCCGAGCGUCAUUGCUGCCCUCAAGCCCGGCUUGUGUGUUGGGCCCCGUCCUCCGAUCCCGGGGGACGGGCCCGAAAGGCAGCGGCGGCACCGCGUCCGGUCCUCGAGCGUAUGGGGCUUUGUCACCCGCUCUGUAGGCCCGGCCGGCGCUUGCCGAUCAACCCAAAUUUUUAUCCAGGUUGACCUCGGAUCAGGUAGGGAUACCCGCUGAACUUAAGCAUAUCAAUAA
rnacentral:misc_RNA from 1 species